rnacentral:misc_RNA from 1 species
AGGUGGUCGCGGAUAAGAAAUGGAGGGAAGUGGGUUCAGUGUUUAAGUUCUCUCCAACAACAACGAGUGCUUCUUUCGUAUUGAGAAAACACUACUUUGGCCUUCUUUACCAUUAUGAACAAGUUCACUUCUUUAAGGUCCAAGGUCCAGUCUGCUCUCCGACAGUGACAGUUACAUUUCCUGUAAGCAACUCUUUAUGCAGACAUGAAUUGGCUAUUGUGGAAUAUUCCCCCAAACCGAUAAGGGAUUGUCCUGAUCCGCGUACUGAAGGUGAGGUGGUAUUGCCAAUAUCUUCAUUCCAUUGCUUUAAGAGAAAUGUGUGCAAGUGGAUAAAAAGAGUAUUCAGUGAACACCACAAAUGUUUGAUCUAAUUCCAGCCCCAUAAUUUUCUAUUUUUGAGUUAGUUAAAUAGUCUGUUGUGAGAUGUUUGGAAUUAUAGUUAUAGGCAAGACAUUUGACUCUGAAGUCUCUAUUAUUUGAUGUAAAGGUUGAUAUUUUGGCUGUUUCACAAUAUCCCUUUUCUUCUGGUCCCACUACAUUUAUCUUAUAAUUCAGAUAAGUGGCUAUAUAGUCCGUGUCACUCUCAUAUGGUGUCCCUGUUUUGACAUUUUGUUUAUUUGUUGUCUCUAUCUGCGAUUCUCCUGAUAAAAAUCUAUCAAACACCUCGUAUAAUAACAAUUAAGCCUUAAUUUCAAACCAAUUGGGUAGGCCAUAGGAUUGAUGUGCUUAUGUAGCAUUUGAUGAGUCGCAUCAUCCUCACUCACUGGAGCUAUUUUAGAUCUAUACAUUUGGCCAGUGCUAUCCCCUAGUGAUUUACUUUGAUGGGUCUCUCCUCAUUUUUCUGUUUUUGGAGGAUUGCUUAAAUGUAUAGGAGAAACAAAAUGGAGAAAUCCACUGGCUUUAAUUUAGUAUCGAUGAAUAUGAAACUAUUGUUGACAAGAAAUAUCUGCACCUGAGGUCUACAACAUAAUUGCUGUGCUUGGACAAGCUUUCCUUAGCUCAUUCAUCAGCAUCUUAAC